rnacentral:lncRNA from 1 species
AGCUUUAAUAUAAUCACGACUAUUAUCAGCCUUUUUAGUUUUUAACUUGUAAAACUGCUCACUUGACUUCAUCGCUGUUCUUCUGUGCUGCUCUUAUUGUGCCAAAGUAAACUGAAAAUCCUCAGAGGAGCUAUGUGUGUGUUUUUUAAUAUAUCGUAGUUCAUCUGGUGGCCAAACUUCUGUUAAUACAAAUACUAAUUACAAAGCUUUAUCCACACAUAACAAUGGUAUUUCAUUUGUUCAGACUCACUACAUGUUCUUGUAACACAUGCAGAAAAAGACGACCAAACAAUACACCUCUAGUGUCAUACUAACAAUUAAUGCCAGGCCUUUAAUUAGGCUUUAAAUCUGAUUCACUCCCCUAUUCAGUAUUCAUUGUCAACCAAGAGUAUUUUAUACAUAAGCAGUUUUGAUUUUACACCUGCCUCAACAGGACUAAGUAGGUGUGGUUUGACAUGGCUCAAGGUCUCAUUGGCCGUCUUCAUAUUGUUAUGGAUGAGGUACUAAAUUUUGAGAACUUGACUUUGACACUUUGAUGAACUUCCCUAUAAUCCAUUUCAGUUGUACACGAGAAAACUAAAAUCAACAUUACUUUUAAGAAAGUCAAGUAAAAUCAUUCGUGCAAAUGAAUUACAUGUUAAGUCAAUGCAAAGACGUGAUUAGACGCUCCUACUUCUCUGGCGGCGCAAAUGACGCGAAUUGGGCUGAAAAUGUCUCAACUUGAGCAGAUGGUCGUGUCGUGAUUACUAGUCAGCACGAAGGUUGCAGGGUAUCAUAUGAAAACGGACAGUUGUUCACUGAUAUCUAGAAUGCCUCGAGGAAAGUGAGUGAGGAAGUCGGAUUACCUGGUAAAUUGUCAAAAACAUUUGUCUAUUACUUGAUCACCCUGGUUGAAUUGGCUGGGAUUACCGUUGACACGUGACUGAAGGGAGUAAAUACUAUUCAUUUAUGCGUCUAGAUUCGCGCGUAUUAAGCGAGUAGAUGAUUUUACUUACACUUAGUGUGAGUCAUAUUCUGUACAUAUGCAUACACGGAUUAAAAUAUUUUAUUCUGCAUAUUUUUGGUUAAAAUUCAGAAAAAUUUGUUGCUUUAAAGCCUUUUUGUUGGACAAGUAAUUUAUUUUUUUUCUUACUAGUUAAUUUGAUUGCCACUUUUACUCAACAUUUGCCACUUUAAUGUAUGUUAAGUGAACACACAGAGGUCUGCACUGCUCAGUAUGGGGGCAAGGAUGUUUUAUUGAAUUAAUACAUCACCUCUGAGCUUUACUAAUGACUCUGGGAGCUGUUCGACCUUUUGCUGCCUUUACAAUGUGCUAACAUUGCUCAUCUUGUGUGAAAACAACACCUUCACAUUGCAAUAGAGGGGCAGCUCUUUUACACAUGGAGACACUUCAUGGUUAUCAUUGUUAGCUCUUUCUGAGCACAGCCAGAGAUAAAGACACCGUCAGAGAGGCCUGGCUUCACUUAAUCUCUGCAAAAGGGAUCACUGAGUAGACUGAUUUGUUUGCUCCAGGAAGUGCUCAUGUCCUAUCGUUGACAAAGGAGUGAUGCAAAAGGACCGGACAGCCCAAAAAUAGCGAAAAAAACAACAGAUAUUCGGACUAGAUGGCACUAUAUCUUUCUUGAAUUCAUCAUCUUUUAUGUAUCUGGAUAAUUGGUUUCAGUAAUAUUAAAUUCAUAGCUAGAGAAAAAGCAGCAUCAGAGCUUGGGUAAACAAUUUUAAGCCUAAUUUGGUAUGAGACAUGACUGGCCCAGUGGCAGUGUGCAACUCCAAUUAUGAUAAGGAUUAAGCACAUGCAAUCAAAAGAUAGAACAAGAUAAUGUGCACAGAUACAUUUGGCAAGCGAGCAAUUAAUUGGAGAAGCAUGACACCGAGCCUACUGAGGAUGAUGUUUCAACACUUCUACAUUAUCCGUGGCAGAGCACUGAUUUCUCCCUGUUCAUCAUGAGGAGGGUUGUCUCUGUGAUCCAGAGGAGGCAGAGGGAGCUGUCAGGGAGUCCACUGCGUUUGGUGGUCGCUGUCUGUAACUGCUGUCUGAACCCAGGAGGCCAAAAUGACCGAGUUCACUAGUUGAUUAAUGAGUGUGCUGCCACCGGUUGUCAAAAUAUGACACUAAUUGUGAAGCUUGAAAAAGAGCCUGUAUUCUUUGAUUAAUCAAUUUAGCAUUGAAAAUGAAUUAAUAAGGGAGUAUCUAUCAUGCAGACUGAAAUGAAAAUUAAAUGCAUCGAGGAAAAAUCAAACUGGGGAAACAUAACAGCAGAUUCGCUUUGCAAGAAAAAUUGUUUGAGAGUGGUAGAAGUGCUGCGAACAUAUGUUGGAUCUGUUUAGCUGCCGACUGUCCAACUGUUAGCAGCAAUGAUGAGAUUAAUUAGGAGUGGGAUGGCUACUGAGGGAGAGAUGAAGCUGUCAUUAUACAGUAGGUGUUGAGUAAUGAUGACUGCCUCGUCUUUAUCCUCAGUGAGACCGUCUCCGCCACACACUUUUAACUCUGACCCAAUUAAUGCUGCAGGUAAACAGAUUCUCGCCGUGGUCACAGACUUUUUUUUUCUCUCCUCCUGGGAGUAGCAAAGAAAUGGAGCUGUACAUUUUGUCUGUGCAUCAUGGUUGGAAAGUCAACUUGACAGAACAAGGGGCACUUGAUAAACAGUCUAUCUAGGCCACUCACUGUAUAGCACAUGUCUCAAGAGGGGCAGACAAAACCCAAGACAUUACAGAGAAACCCAAAGCAAAUUAUCCUGACAUGGAUGAAACAAUAGCAAAUUGGACAAAUGAUAUAAUUUGAGUCAUAUAGGCCCCAGCAGAGUCAUGUUGUUUCUUGCACUCAGAGGGAUUUGGAAACAGGAAUAGUGCUUGAUAGUAAAGGUCAGGAAACAAAGGUGGGUUUCCCGCAUAGUGGGGAGACAUGGUGUCCCCGUGAAACACCUCUAACAUAAAAUAUAUUCAUCAUUUUCUUCCUGUUUUGUAAUGUGGCGAGAUUCCACUUUCAUUAUUCAUGAGUUUCUCUUAUGGUAGUCACUCAAAAUGCAAACGGAGGCCCUCUUUUCUAUGUUUUGGGGUAUUUUUAAGCAUUUUAUGCAAGGAGGGCCUUGUUUUUCUAUUUCUCAUAUGAAGCAGCAUUCCCUACCAAUGCUUAAUUCAAGUUACACCAUGUGUUAUGAUUCUUAAUAUCCUCUGUUUUUCUUGUCUGCCUAACAAGGCUUGAUUAAGAGUGAUUUAAACAUGACUUUUCACUUCAAAAUCAAUUAGUCAAAUAAAUCAAAUAAGUUCAAAAAGAUGUUGUUUCAGUGGGGUAUGAAAGUCCUCAAUAACUGGUAUGGAUGUGUUUUUGGUGAAAAGGUGUAGGUUGGGGAAAUCUUAGUCUAGACUGAGUGUGCACUUUUCAGCAGGAGGGAGCCACAGUGAGUCAUUAAUCACCCUCCACUGACACCAGAAACCUUCUGCCCCUCAUAAGGGCAAAAUAACCUCUAACAAUGAGAGGAACUAAGUGGCCAGAGACAAUGGGAUAUUGCGUGGUAGUUUAUGUUCCUCUCAUAAGCAGCCCAGCCACCCUCAGAAGAUGGAGCAGCCAUUCCAUGAAGCUCCCUGACUGUACACAGCAGCAGGGAGGGACAUUACAAGGACUGGCCUCAGUGAAGCGGCCUACAGAGUCAAAAAGCAUAAGUGGAACGUAUGUCGUUUCUCACAAUGAAACUGACCCCCAGUAUCAUUACACGCACAUCUAGGACUGAGAAACUAAAAGCAAGCUAUUGAAACAAGAAAACUGUUUGGUGUAAUGGCACGAGAAGCAUAACAUAUCAUAAUCUUAGUCCUGGCUAAAGUCAUAGACACCAUUCUUAAUAACAAAUGGUCAUGUUUUUUCCUGCCAUUCAAGCUAUUUUAACAUCCACCAGCCAAUGUUGUGGAUGGAUUUUUAUCCUUUUCUUUUGUUUUAUUUUGUAAAAAAUAAAAAAAUAGAGCAAUAAUAGGAUAAAUCCUUUUGCUAAUGUCCUGAUUAUUGACAACUGUGCAGGGUGAACAUAUGAAUAAAUGAAAUUAUGACGUUUAAUUGUGGCUAAAAGUUAACUGCGAUGAUCGUUUAUCAGACUUGGCCUGUUAACCAGUUUAGUGUUUCUCUUAAAUAGAUUUAGUAAUGUUCACAGAUGUAAUAAUAACAAUGCAUCAGAUUUCAUAUAGCGCUUUAUCAGAGACCCUCAAAGCGCUUUACAUUGGAUACAUUAUUCAUUGGCUCACACAGUCACACUUUGGUGGUGGUAAACUACCUUAGUAGUCACAGCUGCCCUGGGGCAGACGGACAGAAACGUAGCUGCCAUUUUGUGCCUACGGCCUCUCCGACCACCACCACACAACACUCACAAUCAUACACCAGUGGAGGACACACACUGGGAGCAAGGUGGGUUAAGUGUCUUGCCCAAGGACACAAUGAACAGACUUGGGAUAGGGGGGAAUCGAACCGCCAACCUUCCAGUUAUUGGGCGACCGCUCUACCUCCUGAGCUACUGCCGCCCAAAUGUGGUUAUAUUAUAAUAGCACUUUAGCUGUUACAGUCUUUUAUUGUUAUUAUUAGGGCUUUUAAAGUGCAGCAUUAAAGUGUCAAUUGCUUUAGGUUUAAAGUUUUAAAAUUAACUUAAUAUUUCCUUUAAAUCCCAUUAAAAAUCUGGUCUCUUUUGAUACUGUAGUUAACCUCUGCAGAAUCGUCCUGCUUUUUGCUGCUUCCAUGGUCAAUAAGGACUCCACUGCACUUCUGAAUCACACACCACUUUAGGAUAUGACUCAGCUGACGACACAAAAGUUUAAUGAACUCUAUGUCAAGCAAGAUUAAAACAUCAUCAAAGUACUUUCAGUGUCAGCAACUAUUUGAAACUCCAGACAAGGACAAAAUGCACCUAAAUAUCUGAUUGAUCACAACUAAUUAUUGAAAUUAAGGGAUUAAUCAUGAUUGAAAGAAAUAUAUCCAUUUACAAUCCUAAAUAUCCUCAUCAUCUUUAACAAACUAAAUAACUGGUUAAAUCUUAAUGCUCAUAAAGCCAUGGUCAUCUAUCAGCAUGAUAAGAACUAACUGCAAUG